rnacentral:rRNA from 1 species
UACAGAGGUCCCAAGCGUUGUUCGGAUUCACUGGGCGUAAAGGGUGCGCAGGUGGCUGUGUAAGUUUGAUGUGAAAUCUCCGGGCUCAACCCGGAAAUGGCAUUGAAUACUGCAUGGCUGGAGGUUUGGAGGGGGGACUGGAAUUCUCGGUGUAGCAGUGAAAUGCGUAGAUAUCGAGAGGAACACCAGUGGCGAAGGCGAGUCCCUGGACAACACCUGACACUGAGGCACGAAAGCUAGGGGAGCAAACAGG